GCAGGCGUGGUGGAAUCGGUAGACACAGCGGACUUAAAAUCCGCCGGGCCCAGCCCAUGCGGGUUCGAGUCCCGCCGCCUGCA
rnacentral:tRNA from 1 species